AACGAACGCUGGCGGCAGGCUUAACACAUGCAAGUCGAGCGCCCCGCAAGGGGAGCGGCAGACGGGUGAGUAACGCGUGGGAAUCUACCCAUCCCUACGGAAUAGCUCCGGGAAACUGGAAUUAAUACCGUAUACGCCCUACGGGGGAAAGAUUUAUCGGGGAUGGAUGAGCCCGCGUUGGAUUAGCUAGUUGGUGGGGUAAAGGCCUACCAAGGCGACGAUCCAUAGCUGGUCUGAGAGGAUGAUCAGCCACAUUGGGACUGAGACACGGCCCAAACUCCUACGGGAGGCAGCAGUGGGGAAUAUUGGACAAUGGGGGCAACCCUGAUCCAGCCAUGCCGCGUGAGUGAUGAAGGCCUUAGGGUUGUAAAGCUCUUUCACCGGGGAAGAUAAUGACUGUACCCACAGAAGAAGCCCCGGCUAACUCCGUGCCAGCCGCCGCGGUAA
rnacentral:rRNA from 1 species